CCUCACCCUGCCAGAGGCCACGCUGGCCUUGGGUCCGCUGUGGGUGCAGAGGUUUCCGGGGAGCGGGUGGGGGGAGGGCCCAAGUCCCGCAGUCCCCGGAGGGAUCCGCCAGAGCAAGUAGUUGCUUAACGUUUCACAGCCUCGCGCUCCUCCGCCGGCGGUUUUGCUUCCCGGGUUCAGUUGGGAGCGCGCGACCCGGCCGCCGAGGGGCGCGCGCGAAAAGGGGCGUGGAGAGCGCGGGGGCUGCCCGAGGGGUGGUCCUGCGCGGGGACGGUCGCGGCGCAGGCAGGGGGCGCGCGCAGCCCGGGGAGAGCUGCGGCCUCACGUCCGGUUACCGCGCGGCCGCCUGCCACCUGGGCGCGUGCUGCAGGGACUAGAGGGCCGGCGACCCGGCGACCGCGGCUCGUCCCGCGCGCCCCGAACCUCCCGCGACCCCGCGCCCCCCCCCCCCUCCGCCCGCGCCCGUUCCCGCUCCGCCAUGGGCGCCGCCGGCUCGUCGGCCCUGGGCCGCCUCGGCCUCCCCGCGUCGCGCCUCCCCGCGCAGCCCCGGCCCGGCUGGCUCGCGGUGACCGCGCUGGGACUGGCCGCCGUGGCGCUGGGGACCGUCGCCUGGCGCCGCGCGCGGUCCAGGCGGCGCCGGCGGCUGCAGCAGGUGGGCACGGUGGCGCAGCUCUGGAUCUACCCGGUCAAGUCCUGCAAGGGGGUGGCGGUGAGCGCGGCGGAGUGCACGGCCCUGGGGCUGCGCUGCGGCCACCUGCGGGACAGGUUUUGGCUGGUGAUUAAGGAAGAUGGGCACAUGGUCACCGCCCGGCAGGAGCCUCGCCUGGUGCUGGUGUCCAUCACCUAUGAGGGCGACCGCCUGAUCCUCAGGGCUCCGGGCAUGGACCAGCUGGUUUUGCCGGGCAAGCUGCCUUCUUCAAACAAGCUGCAUGAUUGCAGGCUGUUUGGGAUGGACAUCAAGGGCAGGGACUGUGGCGACCAGGCAGCUAAGUGGUUCACCAGCUUCUUGAAAACAGAAGCUUUCAGGUUGGUUCAGUUUGAGGAUCACAUGAAGGGAAGGUCAUCGAAGAAAAUUUUCUCUACCCUUGUACCGAAUUACCAGGUGGCCUACCCAGACUGCAGCCCGAUCAUGCUCCUCUCGGAAGCCUCCCUGGUGGAUCUGAAUACCAGGCUGGAGAAGAAACUGAAAAUGGACCAGUUCAGACCCAGCAUUGUGGUGACAGGCUGCGAUGCCUUUGAGGAGGAUACCUGGGAUGAGCUCCUCAUUGGCAGCGUAGAGAUGAAAAAGGUUUUGGCUUGCCCCAGGUGCAUUUUGACCACUGUAGACCCAGAUACCGGAGUGAUAGACAGGAAGGAGCCACUGGAAACCCUGAAGAGCUACCGCCUGUGUGAUCCUUCUGAGAAGCAGAUCUACAAGUCGUCGCCACUUUUUGGGGUCUAUUACUCAGUGGAGAAAGUCGGCAGCUUGAACGUUGGUGACCCCGUGUAUCGGAUGGUACCGUGACAUGCAAUCUGAUUUGGUCCAACUGGGCUUCUCUCACACUUCCCAUUCGCUUAUAAAAAUGCUGACGCAGGAGCCCCAGCAGAAGACAGGUAGAUGUUCUCAGUUCAUUGAGGAAUAAGGAAAUAAAGGUUUCCACGUCCCAGAGGCUUUGAUGAGGACUUUACCGACAGCCGCCAACACCACCUCGGCACGUCCUGUGCUACCCAGCCCUUGACCGUCUUCACCCUGGAGCCGAAUCUCUUUGUAACUUUUUGAAGUUACGCAUGCUCCACAUUAAUGCAGGAAAAGUAUUAGAGGUGAUUCAGCAAUAAGGAGGUAUAUAGGUUGGACAUAAUGAGGAUUCUUUAAAUAAAUAAAAUUGUCUAUGAAAUUA